UACAUAACGAUGCUAACUGGCGAUCCGUCGGCGUCAUUCCCACGACUCGACGGGGAGCCCCCGGGAAACCAAAGUUUUUGAGUUCCGGGGGAAGUAUGGUUGCAAAGCUGAAACUUAAAGGAAUUGACGGAAGGGCACCACCAGGAGUGGAGCCUGCGGCUUAAUUUGACUCAACACGGGGAACCUCACCAGGCCCAGACACCGGAAGGAUUGACAGAUUGAGAGCUCUUUCUUAAUUCGGUGGGUGGUGGUGCAUGGCCGUUCUUAGUUGGUGGAGCGAUCUGUCUGGUUGAUUCCGAUAACGAACGAGACUCUAGCCUGCUAACUAGUCGGCGGAUCGACUCCCGAGACGGGUUUCCUUCCGCGAGGGCUAAGGGCGGGGGUAGCUCACGAGGGGCUCGUCGUUUCUCUCGUUCUCGGCGACGCGGGUUGGUCGGUCGGAGGUAGAUGACGAAGACGACACCGGCGACGAAGACGAAGGAGAGCGGUAGUAGCGGUAUUAGUCGUUGCGGAUGCGGUCUGCCGUCGGUCUCGAUUGGACGAUGCGCUCCGUAUACGGCUACUACUACUGUUGCCGUUCCUCCCGAAUCUCUCUUCGUCGGCCCGUCUCUUCCUCUCUCUGCCUUUCUUCCUUCCUCCUCCGCGCGUCGGGUUUUCGGGAGGCGGCGAUCAAGUCCCUUCGAGUCCCCGUUUCCUCCUCGCGUGUGGGAGCUCAACGAGGGGCGUCCGUCGUAAUAUCUUCUUAGAGGGAUCGGUGGCGUCCAGCCAC
rnacentral:rRNA from 1 species